rnacentral:lncRNA from 1 species
GGGUGGGCUGGUGAAGAGGAGAUAUGGUUUUGGUGCUUUGGCACUCUUUAAAUCAUCCUUACAUUGAGAGCUCAUCAUCAGCUUCAUCUCUUCAGAUGGCUAGUAUAGCAGAUUCCAAGAGGAGGGAGUUUGGAGUGACUCACCAGUCAACCAAGUGUCCUCACACCUAAGUGCUCCUCAAAGGAGAAACAUCCAGAUGGUGAGCAAUUACCCGAAACUAGAUAGAAACAGAGGAUAGGAACAUAGUUCCCUCCACUCCCCCCACUGGUGGGGAGUUUAUUUUGAAAAAAAAAGUGGUGCAGAGAUGCCAAUGUUGAGAUAAAUCAAAGACAUCAAAAAGAUCUGCCUAAUUGGCUUAACUGCUGAUCUUUAACAUCAGAAAAAAAUGAGUCAGCCUAAAAAUACACAUAAUUGUGCUCUUCCUGUAUUGUGGGAAGCUCAGAAAUGGAAGAACUAUAUUCUGAGAUAUGGAAAGGCACAGACCAUGGUGAGAUUGGACCUAAUGAAUGACCCAAGGGCUUUUGCUGCACUAAUUAUGGGAUCUGACUUUUGCUGGAGGGAUUUCAAAGCAUUUUAUAACCACGAGCCUAUGAGUCUUCUCAACACAACCAGAAUCCAGCUGAGAGAUCCAGAAAAAGUGGAGAGAGAGAAGCUUCAGGAAUGGCCCAAAAGGUAAACCACAUAGAAUUAAUUUAAAUGAUUGCCUUUUAGUAUCUGAAUAUGUGAAAAAAAAUCCACAUAUGUAAAGGCAAUGAUCAAUUGUACAUGGAGAAUUUUUGAAAGUUAAAAAAAUUGUUAACAUUAAGUCUACCCUAAUUCCAUCCAACAGUCUUGGAAACCCCUCUGAAAAGAAAGGAGGCUUGAGAGAUCUGAGGAAGUGAAAGCCCUGAGUAUUGGAGCCCUGAGUAUAUGUUGUGGGAAGUCAGGGGCAAUAUGGAGGAAUCACCCAGGUGGGAGAGGGAAAAUGAGGACACACAGAUAGGAGCAGUAGAGUUACUUAUAAUCCUGGAGGCAGUGAGGAGUCAGUAGCAGGAUUUAAAAAUGAGGAGAUAAUGGAAUAAAAUCUGAUGCCUAGAGAGGUUGAAUGACUUG